rnacentral:rRNA from 1 species
UACGUGGGGGGCAAAUGUUGUUCGGAAUCACUGGGCGUAAAGGGAGCGUAGGCGGGCUUCUAAGUUAGAUGUUUAAUCCCGGGGCCCAACCCCGGACAGGCACCUAAAACUGGAAGUCUUGAAUAGUGGAGAGGACGGCGGAAUUGGGGGUGUAGCGGUGGAAUGCGUAGAGAUCCCCAAGAACACCAGUUGCGAAGGCGGCCGUCUGGACACAUAUUGACGCUGAGGCUCGAAAGCAUGGGGAGCAAACAGG